rnacentral:rRNA from 1 species
CAAUAGCGUAUAUUAAAGUUGUUGCAGUUAAAAAGCUCGCAGUUGGAUUUCUGGUUGAAGCGACCGGUCGGGCGUUGAUUCGUCUGCACUGGAGUCGGUUUUGGCCAUCCUCUAGGAAAGUGCGUCUGGUAUUAAGUUAUCGGGCGUAUGAUCCUGGUCUUUUACUGUGAAAAAAUUAGAGUGUUUAAAGCAGGCCUUCGCCUUGAAUACAUUAGCAUGGAAUAAUAAGAUAGGACUUUGGUCUAUUUUGUUGGUUUGCAGACCGAAGUAAUGAUUAAUAGGGAUAGUUGGGGGUAUUUAUAUUCCGAUGUCAGAGGUGAAAUUCUUAGAUUUUCGGAAGAUAAACUUAUGCGAAAGCAUUUACCAAGGAUGUUUUCAUUAA